CGACCUCACUUGGGGCGCUCAUGAUGCCGCUCUACUGGCUUUCGCUUGUCCUUGGAGAAUUUUCAUUGGGAGACCUGAAUGAACCGACAGCCAAGGUGAUUCAGCUGAGAAAGAGCGAUCCCUCGCUGCGAAAGCAUGACUUCUUGCAAGGUCUCCUCGACGCGGAGUACAUCGAGGCAGAAGAGGAACGGGGCGAUAACAAAGUUGCAAAUGGAUGUGCUAGAAAAAGGGCUCUGACCACCGAAGAAAUUACAACGAACGCUGCAGCGCUUUUCAUAGCCGGGUAAGAA